rnacentral:rRNA from 2 species
CUUGGUUCCGGCAUCGAUGAAGAACGCAGCGAAAUGCGAUAACUAGUGUGAAUUGCAGAAUUCCGUGAAUCAUCGAGUCUUUGAACGCACAUUGCGCCCCCUGGUAUUCCGGGGGGCAUGCCUGUCCGAGCGUCAUUGC